AUACGUAGGUGACAAGCGUUAUCCGGAUUUACUGGGCGUAAAGGGCGUGUAGGCGGUCUUGCAAGUCAGAAGUGAAAUUCCUGAGCUCAACUCGGGCGCUGCUUCUGAAACUGCAGGACUUGAGUGCUGGAGGGGAUAGCGGAAUUCCUAGUGGAGCGGUAAAAUGCGUAGAUAUUCCACAGAACGCCGAUAGCGGAGGCACUGCGCCAGGCCUGCAUUGCCGCUCGGGCACGAAAGCGUGGGGAUAGAACAGGAUUAGAUACCCUGGUAGUCCACGCCGUAAACGAUGGGCGCUCGUCGUCGGCGGCAGACAGUCGGCGGCCAAGCGAAAGCGAUAAGCGCCCCACCUGGGGAGUACGGUCUCAAGGCUGAAACUCAAAUGAAUUGGCGGGG
rnacentral:rRNA from 1 species